UACGUAGGGUGCGAGCGUUAAUCGGAAUUACUGGGCGUAAAGCGUGCGCAGGCGGUUCGUUGUGUCCGAUGUGAAAGCCCCGAGCUUAACUUGGGAAUGGCAUUGGAAACUGGCGGGCUGGAGUGUGGCAGAGGGGGGUGGAAUUCCACGUGUAGCAGUGAAAUGCGUAGAGAUGUGGAGGAACACCGAUGGCGAAGGCAGCCCCCUGGGCUGACACUGACGCUCAGGCACGAAAGCGUGGGGAGCAAACAGG
rnacentral:rRNA from 1 species